rnacentral:tRNA from 1 species
GCUCAGUUGGUUGAAUGUCUGACUUUGGCUCAGGUCAUGAUCUCGCUGUCCGUGGGUUCAAGCCCCGCAUUGGGCU